CCUCCCCACACUGGGUUUCUAUGAUCCAAGGCUUUAUUUUGAGACAGAGCAUUGCUCUGUCACCCAGGCUGGAGUGCAGUGGCAUGAUCUCAGCUCACUGCAACAUCUGCCUCCCAGGUUCAAGGGGUUCUCCUGCCUCAGCCUCCUGAGUUGCUGGGACUUCAGCCUCCUGAGUUGCUGGGACUACAUGUGCACACCACCAUGCCCGUGAUCCGCCCACCUGGGCCUCCCAAAGUGCCGGGAUUACAGGCUGAGCCACUGUGCCUGGCCUGAUCCAAGACUUUAUAAAGACAUGUAAGAGGGUGGGAGACAGAAAGCGGAAAAGGAUACAUCAAAACUAGCAAUGGAUGAAUGAGAACAUGUCCAGCCUCCAGUUAAGGCAACUGUGGCUUCAAAAAGGAAUCUUAAAUACCAGCACAGAAAUCAGAGGGAUCCUAACCUGGCUCAAAACAGAAGAGAAACAGUGGCUGGCCAUACAGCAGGACGGGCAUAACUAACAGAAUACCAGCUUUCCAGCCAUUGUUUCAUCCCUCAGCGAUACCACCUGCUUCCGCGUGGAACCCAAACCCCCAGGAAACUAAAUCUGCUCAGGUCACCCACCUAGGAAUAAAUAAAAACAGGUUUCAGGCCCUUUGUCCUUUGUAAAUUCCGCCUUUUUUUUUUUUUUAAGGCCUGUGUUCUUUAUCACGGACACUGUUCACAUAGUGGUAAUCCUUGCCUGACUCAGAUCUACUUGUUCCUGCGUUUCAUUCCUCCGCUGCUCAAUUACUUGUUCAAAACGCAAAGGACAACUGGUAGUGAAGACCCUCCACCAGCAACACUACCAUGUGCCAGGCACCGUGCUGGGGACCGGGGAUACAAAGAUGAGUAGUGUACCGUCCUUGCCCCCAGGACAGUUCCCCGUGUCCGCAGGGCCGGCCUGGAGGGCCACAGCCAACUGUGGGCAACAGGAUCACCGUGCCCUUCGCGGCAAGUGAGUGCAGUAGUAGGGGACGGUUACUGCCAAGCCAAAGGUUUUCUCCAGGUAAAACUGGAUGACAGAGAGACAGAGACUGAAGCAACGCCGGCGCCGGGCGGAUAAUAAAGGGAGGCAGGGGCUAAAAGGGUGGAGGGAGCAGAGGACCCGGCCGGGAACUGGCAGUAGGGAGGCCCCCGCUGCAGUCGCCGGCCUGGGUGCCGGGCGGCCACGCUUCCCCAAAGCCGUCACAGGGACUUGGGGUACCAAGGUGACUACUGGGCGCGAGUCGUUUUGUGGGGGGAGGGUGUCCCCAAGGGGGCAGUUUGAGGAGACGGUUGGGGAUGCAUCUGGGGUGGCGCCCAAAGGGACGGUGGGUGCUGGGUGUUUGAAGGUCCGGUGGACGCAGAGCUGAAGGGUCAGGAGAAGGCCAAGGGUCAGAAGGGCUGGGGACGAGGUCUGCC
rnacentral:lncRNA from 1 species